rnacentral:lncRNA from 12 species
UGCUGGGGUAAGCAGUAGGUCUCUGGUAAGGCUUCCAGAUUCUUUCUCAGUUCUCUUUCUCUUAUGACGUCAUCAGCAUCCUGGCUGCACCUUCUCUGAGUUUCUCUGAAACUUCUUCUCCAGACAGUGCUCCUGCCUCCCCACCAUACCCAUACAUACUUCUGUAACUCCCUAAUUUAAUAUUCCCUUUUUACAGAGUGUCACAGACAAAAAAUUGUAGGCACGACUUAUCUUGAUUUGCUUGACAAUAAGAGGUACUUUUAACAACUCACACAGGAAGAAUAUCCCAGCUUCAUGAAUACUGACAGAACACUUACUGCUUAACUCAUAGGUGGGUACUCCAAGCUGCACUCCAGAUAAUACAGCUGACAAAGAAAAUAUUAAGAACAACUGCAUUUAUCCAAACAUUGCAGAUCAUCUUGUUGUACAGAACAGUGUUUCUAAAUAGAACUGUGUCCGGAGCUGAAAAACGUCAGCAUGGAAAUCCAGCCCCAGGAGACAGGAGGGAGCGCAGCAGCUCCCCGAGCAGAUGUCCAGGCACAUGGCUAGAAGCCAGAACUCUCCUGUUAAACGCCUCUCGCUGAAUGGGAAAAAUCUGCCUAAAAAUCUGCUUUGUUUAGUUAAUGUUAGUCCUUUUCCCCAGAAAGACGACGAAAAAUAUUACCAUUACUUUAGCUCUGGAGAAGCUUUAAGGGGGUCGUGGAACACAUACUGAGCCCUGCCCUCUAUUCUUCCUUCCUCCUCCCUUCAUUAGCACCACACCUAGAGGAACGCGCGUACAAAAGGAAAAGGGAGAGCCGAAAAAACUGAGCGGUUACCUGAGAAACCAGAUACGGUGCUGUAGGUACCUUACAUGGGCACACGUGUACCUGAGGAAUUCGAAUGGGAGAAGUAACCUCUGCCGUAACCACCCUCUGAACCACACCUCAUUCAGUACACUAAUCCACCCUACAUUGAAAUAUAUGUGACCAGGGCAUGCACAGAACAGUUUUGUAACAUCUGUAACGUGGUGGGAUCCAGCAUGAAAUGUUAAAAUCUCACUCUAAUGUGGAUUAUAUGUAAUUCUCUCCAAAAGCAUAAAAAUAGGGAUAGCUAUAAGCCAGAUAAUAGAUCAACCAUUCUUUGUGAUGUCUGCUUUCCUCUUCCUACAUUGUUUGAAAAAUAAAAAUUUGCUCCAUGGAAAAUAGACAAAUCUCUGUUACACAGAUGUAAACAUAUCAACAUUUCCACCGAUGUUUGGAAGCAUCACAAAUGUAUUUGUGCUAAUUGUAAUCACCUCUGUUACACAGAUGUAAACAUAUCAACAUUCCCACCGAUGUUUGGAAGCAUCACAAAUGUAAUCAUAACAUUUCCACCGAUGUUUGGAAGCAUCACAAAUGUAUUUGUGCUAAUUGUAAUCACGAAAGGAUUGUGAUGAAUAAAAUGUUGUCGUUUAGAUGUUUUGAGUUUUGAACUUUUUCGUUCACUAGUAUGGUAUGAGCUCUGAGUUUCCUUUAAAAAUACUCAAAUACCACUUUUGCCAGUAG